UCGGGAAUUUUGGGCAAUGGGCGAAAGCCUGACCCAGCAACGCCGCGUGAAGGAUGAAGUAUUUCGGUAUGUAAACUUCGAAAGCAUAGGAAGAAUAAAUGACGGUACUAUUUAUAAGGUCCGGCUAACUACGUGCCAGCAGCCGCGGUAAUACGUAGGGACCAAGCGUUGUUCGGAUUUACUGGGCGUAAAGGGCGCGUAGGCGGCAAUUCAAGUCAUCUGUGAAAUCUCCGGGCUUAACUCGGAACGGUCAGAUGAUACUGCUUUGCUAGAGUGCAGAAGGGGCAAUCGGAAUUCUUGGUGUAGCGGUGAAAUGCGUAGAUAUCAAGAGGAACACCUGAGGUGAAGACGGGUUGCUGGGCUGACACUGACGCUGAGGCGCGAAAGCCAGGGGAGCAAACGGGAUUAGAUACCCAAGUAGUCCCUGAGCGGGCUGGCAAGGCGCAU
rnacentral:rRNA from 1 species